CCGUGCUAGGUGGGGAGCUAGCGGUUCCCUGUAACCCGCAAUCCGCUACAGCGGGGCUGAACUCCCGUCCGAGGCGGCACCUUUUGGGGCCAGGCCCGCGCGCGCAGCGAGGAAGGCCGGGUCCUGUGCAACGGGAACUGACCAACCCCGCCAGGCCCGGGAGGGAGCAACGGUACGUCAGCCUCCCCGUGUGCCGCAGGGACACCUGGUCGGAGCCAGCGGCGCGGAUACCGCUCGGAGGGUGCUGGUCGACGGCGGGUGCACGG
rnacentral:SRP_RNA from 1 species